AAAAAAAAAAAAACCCUAUGAAUCUCUGUGAACGUAUGAUUUCAGUUUAUUUCAACGGUAACUGUACUUUUUUCUUUUCAAUUGGCAACAGAUUUUGCUUAUCUUCUCUGGUAAGUUUGGGAUUUUGAAUUCAAUUUGUAAACGGUCAUACUUCAUUUUGGGUUCUAUAAAUAGAAAACCUUCUCUUCAUUUUUGGGGGGGAUUUUUUCAGAGUAGAACAUAGCCACAAUGGGUUUUCACACCCACAAUGGCAUUUUUGACAACCCUCAAGAGUUCGAACACUUAGAAGCUCGGCAAAAGCCUGGAGUUUCGAGGAAUUUCGAGCUCGUACUUUAAUUUUUGGAAGUCAUUUCCGUUCGUCGAAAAUCGAUUCAGGUGAAAGGUAACCAUUAAGCUCUCGUCGCCCUCGUUGCUGCUCUACAAAAAGUUGCUGCUAAACUUGAAGGGAAGUGGCUACUGCUUGCUGUUGGUUUUAUGAGUCACAUUUGGAGUGAAUUUGCUGCUACACAUCCUAAUACCUUGGCUGCCGUAUUUUUGAGCUGUUAUGCCUCAUAAGCUACUUAAGUUGGUAAUGUUAUUACUGCCCUUUUGAGGUAAGUAAUUGCUGCCCCUUUGAAGGUCAAAUGAGUUAAAUUUCUGGUGGAAUUUUAGAGAGCAGGCUGCUGCUCUUUAUUGUUGCUGCUUUACUGUAGUUCUUGUCACUUGUUAUGCUCUUUUAUUUUGAGAUUAAGUUGUUCCUUGAUUUUGGUUGCUACAUUUGAUCCAUCUUGAAUAGCUCCUGUUGUGGGUUGUUUCUCUUUUGGCUGCUGCCUUUUUCUUGAUUGUGAACUUACUGCACUUGGAAGGUAUAAAUACCACAUGCAAUGAGUGCAGAGGCUAUGCUCUGAGGGCAUUGCUGCCUUCUGUAUUCAGCAGAUCACUGCUGUACUCUUGUUCCUAUCUUCUGAUGAAUUGUUUUGUUGUUACCUUGUUACUGCUAUAUGAUUGAUGAGCAGCUGUUAUGAUUAGUUGGUUGUUGUGGUAUUUUGAGCUGAAUUUUGGUCAGAUUUGAAGUAGAAAAUGGCUGCUGCAUUUUGCUUAAGUUUAAAGGCCAUUAUUGCUGCCUUUUACUCAAGCUUUGAGGCCUAUCUUGCUAUUGAUGCUCUUAUGAGAUUAUUGUUACCUUGCU